AGGUCUCGCUGUGUUGCCCAGGCUAUAAAACGGGGUUUUAUAGAUGAAGAAAGAGAAGCACAGAGAGGACAGGGAAGCUGGAUUGGAACCAUACCUUAAGCUCACAUUACUAGGGUCUCAGAAUCCACUCCCAAGGGUGAUCCUGAAGGGUUCACUGUCACCCUCCGGGGUAAGCCACCUCUUUUCCCCAAGCGAUUCAUUCCCCACAUGAAACUCAACAGUCCUUCUAUCCCUUCUUCUUAACCUUUCAGGAGUCACCCAAGAGUCCUGCCUGCCUCCGCUUACCCCUCCAACUCACUUCCUGCUCCCAGGGCCCAAGGGCCCUGGCCUCACUCACAGAAACUCUGUCUUUUUCUUCUCUUCUUUAUCCUUAGUCCUCAGCUUUGUCUUCCAGGGAGAGCCUGGUGAUGGGGAGCCCUCAUGGUAGAGACCACUCGAAUCUGCCAGCUCUGCCUCUGGGGGCAGAGGAAGAGAAGGUAGAAGGGGGUUAUCCAAGGGAGGCCAGCGAAGGCCAAGAAGAAACAAGUCAGAGGCUUCAAGAAGGUCCUAGGAAAGGAGGAGACCACGGAGCCCCUGGCACACACAGGGCCACAUGAUAAUAUUGGGAAAGGGGGCAGGGGAUGAGACUGCUAUUUAGUAUAAAGAUAGCUCAUAUUAACUUAAAAUUAACUUAAAUUUCUCAUGAAAGGAAACCAGGUAUUAUUUUCUAUAAUAUAGAAAUUUCUAUUUGCCCGCUGUCAAUAAAAGAUCAUCACAAACCACAAAAAUAAAUACUGUGAAAAUUAAAAAAUGAUAAGAAACCCUAGAUCAGUGGCUCUGAACCAGGGACAAUUUUGCCUCUGCGGGGACAUAUAGCAAUGUUUAGAGACAAUAUUGGUUAUCAAAAUGUGGAGGGCGAGGGGGCUGAGGUAUAAUACUUCCCAGGGAUGGAAGUCAGGAUGCCGCUAAACUUUCUACAAUGCACAGGACAGUUUCCAACACCAAAGAAUUUUCCAGUCCAAAAAAUGCCAGUAAUGCUGAAGUCAUGAAAUCCUGUCCUAACUAACUAUGGCAGCUGCAAGAGGCCUAUGAUUCUGCAUUUCGUUUUUCUUUUUUUUUUUUUGAGACCAGGUCCUACUGUGUCACCCAGGUUGGAGUGCAGUGGCAUGAUCAUGGCUCACUGCAGCCUCGACUUCCUGGGCUCAGGUGUUUCUCCCACCUCAGCCUCCUGAGUAGCUAGGACUACAAGUACACAUCACCAUGCCUGGUUAAUUUUUUAUUUUUCUGUAGAAACAGGGUCUCAUCAUGUUGCGCAGGCUGGUCUCGAACUCCUGGGCUCAAGCAAUCCUCCCAUCUCAGCCUCCCAAAGUGCUGGGAUUACAGCACUUUGAGCCAUUGUGCCCAGCCGAUCCUGCAUUUCUAGCAAGCUUCCAACGGAUGCCAUAUAUGGCUGGGCCCACGUUUUGAGUAUCAGGGAUAGAGGUACCUUUUACGUAGCACUUCUGUGUCCUAGGUACUGUCCUAAAGCAUAUAUCUAGCCAAGAGGCAGCUCUCUCUAUAUUCCCUUUCGUUAAUUCUCACCAAAAUCAGCACCAAAAUGGGGUCUACUAUUAUCCCCACUUUGAUAAUGAGGAAAUUGAAGCACUGAGAAAUUAAGAAACUUGCCCAGGCUGGGCGUGGUGGCUCACGCCUGUAAUCCCAGCACUUUGGGUGACCAAGGCAGACAGAUCACCUAAGGUCAGGAGUUCGAGAUCAGCCUGGCCAACAUGAUGAAACCCCAUCUCUACUAAAAAUACAAAAAAGCCAGACAUGGUGGCGGGCGCCUGUAAUCCCUGCUACUCGGGAGGCUGAGGCAGGAGAAUGGCUUCAACCUGGGAGAUGGAGGUUGCAGUGAGCUAAGAUUGCGCCACUACACUCCACCCUGGGUGACAGAGUGAGACUCUGUCUCAAAACAAGAAAAAAGAAACUCGCCUAAGAUCACACAGCUAUUAAGAGAUAGAGCUGAGGCCGGGCACAGUGGCUCACGCCUGUAAUCCCAGCAAUUUGGGAAGCUAAGAUGGGCGGAUCACCUGAGGUCAGGAGUUCAAGACCAGCCAGGCCAACAUGGUGAAACCCCAUCUCUAUUAAAAAUACAAAAAAUUAGCCAGGCGUGGUGGGAAUUAGUCAGCUACUGGGAAGGCUGAGGCAGGAGAAUCGCUUGAACCCAGGAGGUGGAGGUUGCAGCG
ensembl:lncRNA NFATC2IP-AS1 NFATC2IP antisense RNA 1